AUUGAACGCUGGCGGCAGGCUUAACACAUGCAAGUCGAGCGGAGAUGAGGUGCUUGCACCUUAUCUUAGCGGCGGAUGGGUGAGUAAUGCUUAGGAAUCUGCCUAUUAGUGGGGGACAACAUUCCGAAAGGAAUGCUAAUACCGCAUACGCCCUACGGGGGAAAGCAGGGGAUCUUCGGACCUUGCGCUAAUAGAUGAGCCUAAGUCGGAUUAGCUAGUUGGUGGGGUAAAGGCCUACCAAGGCGACGAUCUGUAGCGGGUCUGAGAGGAUGAUCCGCCACACUGGGACUGGAACACGGGCCAGACUCCUACGGGAGGCAGCAGUGGGGAAUAUUGGACAAUGGGCGGAAGCCUGAUCCAGCCAUGCCGCGUGUGUGAAGAAGGCCUUUUGGUUGUAAAGCACUUUAAGCGAGGAGGAGGCUACUUGGAUUAAUACUCUAGGAUAGUGGACGUUACUCGCAGAAUAAGCACCGGCUAACUCUGUGCCAGCAGCCGCAGUAACAC
rnacentral:rRNA from 1 species